AAGGGCAGUAUUGCAAUUUUGAAAAUAAUUAGCUUAAUGGAACAUAAAGUAUAUAAGAUUAGUCUAAUAGGACAUAAUUACCAUUUUUUGGCCUAAAAACAAUUUUUUUCCAUUUUUUCUUAUUUUUAGAUUUCCCAUUUGCAGCUAAGAAUCAAAGAAAAGUUUAUCAUCUGGUUUUGCAUCGGAGCUAACAACAUCA
rnacentral:lncRNA from 1 species